rnacentral:rRNA from 1 species
UACGUAGGCAGCAAGCGUUUGUUCGGAAUUACUGGGCGUAAAGAGUGUGUAGGCGGUGCUCUAAGUCUGUUGUGAAAUCUCCCGGCUUAACCGGGAGGGUGCGGCGGAAACUGGAGUGCUUGAGGGUGGGAGAGGUAAGCGGAAUUCCUGGUGUAGCGGUGAAAUGCGUAGAUAUCAGGAGGAACACCUGUGGUGUAGACAGCUUACUGGACCACUUCUGACGCUGAGACACGAAAGCGUGGGUAGCAAACAGG